GUAAUUCAACCUAGUACG
rnacentral:snRNA from 1 species